rnacentral:rRNA from 1 species
UACGGGGGGGGCAAGCGUUGUUCGGAAUUACUGGGCGUAAAGGGCUCGUAGGUGGCCAACUAAGUCAGACGUGAAAUCCCUCAGCUUAACUGGGGAACUGCGUCUGAUACUGGAUGGCUUGAGUUUGGGAGAGGGAUGCGGAAUUCCAGGUGUAGCGGUGAAAUGCGUAGAUAUCCGGAGGAACACCGGUGGCGAAGGCGGCUUCCUGGACCGACACUGACGCUGAGGCGCGAAAGCCAGGGGAGCGAACGGG